rnacentral:rRNA from 1 species
AGUGAACGCUGGCGGUAGGCCUAACACAUGCAAGUCGAACGGCAGCACAGUAAGAGCUUGCUCUUACGGGUGGCGAGUGGCGGACGGGUAAGGAAUACAUCGGAAUCUACUUUUUCGUGGGGGAUAACGUAGGGAAACUUACGCUAAUACCGCAUACGACCUACGGGUGAAAGCAGGGGAUCUUCGGACCUUGCGCGAUUGGAUGAGCCGAUGUCGGAUUAGCUAGUUGGCGGGGUAAAGGCCCACCAAGGCGACGAUCCGUAGCUGGUCUGAGAGGAUGAUCAGCCACACUGGAACUGAGACACGGUCCAGACUCCUACGGGAGGCAGCAGUGGGGAAUAUUGGACAAUGGGCGCAAGCCUGAUCCAGCCAUACCGCGUGGGUGAAGAAGGCCUUCGGGUUGUAAAGCCCUUUUGUUGGGAAAGAAAAGCAGCAGGUUAAUACCCCGCUGUUCUGACGGUACCCAAAGAAUAAGCACCGGCUAACUUCGUG